AUUGAACGCUGGCGGCAGGCCUAACACAUGCAAGUCGAGCGGAUGAAGGGAGCUUGCUCCUGGAUUCAGCGGCGGACGGGUGAGUAAUGCCUAGGAAUCUGCCUGGUAGUGGGGGAUAACGUCCGGAAACGGGCGCUAAUACCGCAUACGUCCUGAGGGAGAAAGUGGGGGAUCUUCGGACCUCACGCUAUCAGAUGAGCCUAGGUCGGAUUAGCUAGUUGGUGGGGUAAAGGCCUACCAAGGCGACGAUCCGUAACUGGUCUGAGAGGAGGAUCAGUCACACUGGAACUGAGACACGGUCCAGACUCCUACGGGAGGCAGCAGUGGGGAAUAUUGGACAAUGGGCGAAAGCCUGAUCCAGCCAUGCCGCGUGUGUGAAGAAGGUCUUCGGAUUGUAAAGCACUUUAAGUUGGGAGGAAGGGCAGUAAGUUAAUACCUUGCUGUUUUGACGUUACCAACAGAAUAAGCACCGGCUAACUUCGU
rnacentral:rRNA from 1 species